rnacentral:rRNA from 1 species
GAUCUCAAAUCAGGUAGGACUACCCGCUGAACUUAAGCAUAUC